rnacentral:rRNA from 1 species
UACGUAGGGUGCGAGCGUUAAUCGGAAUUACUGGGCGUAAAGUGUGCGCAGGCGGCAGAGCAAGUCGAGUGUGAAAGCCCCGGGCUUAACUUGGGAAUUGCGCUCGAAACUACUUUGCUGGAGUGUGGCAGAGGAAGGUGGAAUUCCACGUGUAGCAGUGAAAUGCGUAGAGAUGUGGAGGAACACCGAUGGCGAAGGCAGCCUCCUGGGCCAGCACUGACGCUCAUGCACGAAAGCGUGGGGAGCAAACAGG